UUGUGUGUCGCGCCGUCAGUCCGCCGGGAUAACGUGGCGGCGCUGCGCUCGUGUGCGAGGAGUGGCUCGAGCUGUCACUGUUCAUGUAGUUUUCUGUGAUAAGAAAUACUGUGAAAUUAAUAGUUUAGCGAACUAAUUUACACAAAUCACGAUGUCCGCGUCGGGUGAAUUCGGUAAUCCUUUACGCAAGUUCAAGCUCGUGUUCCUGGGAGAACAGAGCGUGGGGAAGACGUCGCUCAUCACUAGAUUCAUGUAUGAUAGCUUUGACAACACUUAUCAGGCAACAAUCGGUAUUGACUUCCUCUCAAAGACCAUGUAUCUGGAAGAUCGCACGGUGAGACUACAACUCUGGGACACGGCGGGCCAGGAGCGGUUCCGCUCACUCAUCCCUUCUUAUAUCCGGGACUCCACUGUUGCUGUAGUGGUUUAUGAUAUAACCAACGCAAACUCAUUCCACCAAACCUCUAAAUGGAUCGACGACGUCCGCACGGAGCGCGGGUCUGACGUCAUCAUCAUGUUGGUCGGCAACAAGACCGACUUGUCCGACAAGAGACAGGUUUCCACCGAGGAUGGGGAUCGCAAGGCGAAGGAGCUGAAUGUGAUGUUCAUAGAGACUUCUGCUAAGGCGGGAUAUAACGUGAAACAGGUGAGAUAUCAGAUACUAGACAUAACUGUUCAAGGUCAUGUUGGUCGACAAGACCGACUUGUCGGACAAGAGACAGGUCUCUUCCGAGGAUGGGGAUCGCAAGGCGAAGGAGCUGAAUGUGAUGUUCAUAGAGACUUCUGCUAAGGCGGGAUAUAACGUGAAACAGUUAUUCCGGCGAGUAGCGGCCGCCCUGCCCGGCAUGGAUUCCGCUGAGAACAAGCCUCCUGAAGACACUGUGGACCUGCAGACGCAGUCCCCAUUGGGCUCGGAACAGGAGGGCAGCGAAGGCGGCUGCGUCUGCUGAACACCCCCCCGCACUGCACGCUUCCCACGGAGCAUCCAAGAUUUGUUAGGUUUAAGUGGUCUACGCUCGCCAAAUAGAGGAAUACCAGAAGAGUGAGAAGAAAUGGAAUGGGAUGUUCGUCUUCGGAUAAGGCAGGGUUUGGAUAAACGCAACACACUUGACUUUAUAAAACCACUUCAUCCUUGCGUUCGUAACUUUCGCAGGUGUAUGUUUUACAUGAAUUAAAUGCAGGCAUG